UGCCUUCUCCCAGCUUCCCAUUGGACACUUGUUUUUCUCUUUUCCUUUCUUUUGGAAAACAAGCAGAUGUGAGAAGAGCCAAAGCAAAUGGUUCAUGUCCUGCACCUGAGAAAAAGAGAACAAAGUCCAUGAAGCCUACAGAGAGUGAACAGGAUUCUUGCAGUACUGUUUGUCACUGGCCCUACAGGGACAGGGUGAUUCAUUUACUUGCUCUGAGGACUUACAAGAAGCCAGAGUUACUUGCUCACUUGCAGAGAUAUGGAGUCAUGCAAAACGGCAAGGGCACCCUUGGAAAGGUCCUUCAGCAGAAAAUCAGCUCCAUCUCAGAACCCCACCAGCAGCAGCCAAGCAACAUCUCCAAGGCCUUCUGAGAGAGACACUCCAGCAAGACCUGCUCAGAAACAGCCUCUGGCUUCUGACUUGACCAGUCCUGUGACGAGCAAGAAGAGGAGAAUUGGUCACCAGCAGAGUCAUGUCCAGGCAGCAGCUGGUGGCCACUUUUCUUCCUUCCUUCUGCCUUCCACAUCCUUUUUCACUUUGGACAUGUCUCCAAGUGUUGGCUCCAUUUCCCCCCUGCACCCAUGUGGUGCAACAAACAGAGAAAUUUCAGAGUUCCAUCAUCCCAGCGCCUGCCAGAGUGCAGAAGGAGACCCCCAAUUCAAAUGGGAAGAAAACUGAAUUGGGGAGGCUGAAGCAGUUCCAUCCCUUGGAUUUCGAUGAAGGAACAAGGAAAGAUACUUCCAUUGCCUCCACAUGCUCUGCAGCAACCAACCAACCAGACUACUUGAGGUGCGUCAGAUAGCAAUUUGCUCUUGCCACUCUCAGUGGGGUGCAGUGUCCAUCUGUUUCCUGUGCAGAAAGGAUGAGUUUGAGCAGGUUUUGUUGGGCCUCUGAGGCUCAGAGCAGAGGUGAACACCGAGCUGAGUUAGGCCCAGACGUGCCCUCCCUUCCUGCAGUGCAGUUGCACAGGCUCAGCUGCAGCAGUGGUGCUGCAUCCCCUCAUUGCAUUUGCAGGACAGGAGGGAGAAGUGUGAGUGUGUAUGUGUGUGUGU